UACGUAGGUGACAAGCGUUAUCCGGAUUUAUUGGGCGUAAAGCGCACGCAGGCGGCUCUUCAAGUCUGACGUGAAAUCUCUCGGCUUAACCGGGAGCGGUCGUUGGAAACUGAAGGGCUUGAGGCGAUGAGAGGGGUGUGGAAUUCCCGGUGUAGUGGUGGAGUGCGUAGAUAUCGGGAGGAACAUCAGUGGCGAAAGCGGCACCCUGGCAUUAGCCUGACGCUCAUGUGCGAAAGCGUGGGGAGCGAACGGG
rnacentral:rRNA from 1 species